AACGAACGCUGGCGGCAGGCUUAACACAUGCAAGUCGAGCGCAGUAGCAAUACGGAGCGGCAGACGGGUGAGUAACGCGUGGGAAUCUACCCAUCACUACGGAACAACUCCGGGAAACUGGAGCUAAUACCGUGUACGUCCUUCGGGAGAAAGAUUUAUCGGUGAUGGAUGAGCCCGCGUUGGAUUAGCUAGUUGGUGGGGUAAUGGCCCACCAAGGCGACGAUCCAUAGCUGGUCUGAGAGUAUGAUCAGCCACACUGGGACUGAGACACGGCCCAGACUCCUACGGGAGGGAGCAGUGGGGAAUAUUGGACAAUGGGCGCAAGCCUGAUCCAGCCAUGCCGCGUGAGUGAUGAAGGCCCUAGGGUUGUAAAGCUCUUUCACCGGUGAAGAUAAUGACGGUAACCGGAGAAGAAGCCCCGACUAACUUCGUGCCAGCCGCCGCCGUAAGAC
rnacentral:rRNA from 1 species